rnacentral:rRNA from 1 species
AGCCCAGAGCCUGAAUCAGUGUGUGUGUUAGUGGAAGCGUCUGGAAAGGCGCGCGAUACAGGGUGACAGCCCCGUACACAAAAAUGCACAUGCUGUGAGCUCGAUGAGUAGGGCGGGACACGUGGUAUCCUGUCUGAAUAUGGGGGGACCAUCCUCCAAGGCUAAAUACUCCUGACUGACCGAUAGUGAACCAGUACCGUGAGGGAAAGGCGAAAAGAACCCCGGCGAGGGGAGUGAAAAAGAACCUGAAACCGUGUACGUACAAGCAGUGGGAGCACGCUCAGGCGUGUGACUGCGUACCUUUUGUAUAAUGGGUCAGCGACUUAUAUUCUGUAGCAAGGUUAACCGAAUAGGGGAGCCGAAGGGAAACCGAGUCUUAACUGGGCGUUAAGUUGCAGGGUAUAGACCCGAAACCCGGUGAUCUAGCCAUGGGCAGGUUGAAGGUUGGGUAACACUAACUGGAGGACCGAACCGACUAAUGUUGAAAAAUUAGCGGAUGACUUGUGGCUGGGGGUGAAAGGCCAAUCAAACCGGGAGAUAGCUGGUUCUCCCCGAAAGCUAUUUAGGUAGCGCCUCGUGAAUUCAUCUCCGGGGGUAGAGCACUGUUUCGGCAAGGGGGUCAUCCCGACUUACCAACCCGAUGCAAACUGCGAAUACCGGAGAAUGUUAUCACGGGAGACACACGGCGGGUGCUAACGUCCGUCGUGAAGAGGGAAACAACCCAGACCGCCAGCUAAGGUCCCAAAGUCAUGGUUAAGUGGGAAACGAUGUGGGAAGGCCCAGACAGCCAGGAUGUUGGCUUAGAAGCAGCCAUCAUUUAAAGAAAGCGUAAUAGCUCACUGGUCGAGUCGGCCUGCGCGGAAGAUGUAACGGGGCUAAACCAUGCACCGAAGCUGCGGCAGCGACGCUUAUGCGUUGUUGGGUAGGGGAGCGUUCUGUAAGCCUGUGAAGGUGUGCUGUGAGGCAUGCUGGAGGUAUCAGAAGUGCGAAUGCUGACAUAAGUAACGAUAAAGCGGGUGAAAAGCCCGCUCGCCGGAAGACCAAGGGUUCCUGUCCAACGUUAAUCGGGGCAGGGUGAGUCGACCCCUAAGGCGAGGCCGAAAGGCGUAGUCGAUGGGAAACAGGUUAAUAUUCCUGUACUUGGUGUUACUGCGAAGGGGGGACGGAGAAGGCUAUGUUGGCCGGGCGACGGUUGUCCCGGUUUAAGCGUGUAGGCUGGUUUUCCAGGCAAAUCCGGAAAAUCAAGGCUGAGGCGUGAUGACGAGGCACUACGGUGCUGAAGCAACAAAUGCCCUGCUUCCAGGAAAAGCCUCUAAGCAUCAGGUAACAUCAAAUCGUACCCCAAACCGACACAGGUGGUCAGGUAGAGAAUACCAAGGCGCUUGAGAGAACUCGGGUGAAGGAACUAGGCAAAAUGGUGCCGUAACUUCGGGAGAAGGCACGCUGAUACGUAGGUGAAGCGACUUGCUCGUGGAGCUGAAAUCAGUCGAAGAUACCAGCUGGCUGCAACUGUUUAUUAAAAACACAGCACUGUGCAAACACGAAAGUGGACGUAUACGGUGUGACGCCUGCCCGGUGCCGGAAGGUUAAUUGAUGGGGUCAGCGCAAGCGAAGCUCUUGAUCGAAGCCCCGGUAAACGGCGGCCGUAACUAUAACGGUCCUAAGGUAGCGAAAUUCCUUGUCGGGUAAGUUCCGACCUGCACGAAUGGCGUAAUGAUGGCCAGGCUGUCUCCACCCGAGACUCAGUGAAAUUGAACUCGCUGUGAAGAUGCAGUGUACCCGCGGCAAGACGGAAAGACCCCGUGAACCUUUACUAUAGCUUGACACUGAACAUUGAGCCUUGAUGUGUAGGAUAGGUGGGAGGCUUUGAAGUGUGGACGCCAGUCUGCAUGGAGCCGACCUUGAAAUACCACCCUUUAAUGUUUGAUGUUCUAACGUUGGCCCCUAAUCGGGGUUGCGGACAGUGUCUGGUGGGUAGUUUGACUGGGGCGGUCUCCUCCUAAAGAGUAACGGAGGAGCACGAAGGUUGGCUAAUCCUGGUCGGACAUCAGGAGGUUAGUGCAAUGGCAUAAGCCAGC